rnacentral:hammerhead_ribozyme from 1 species
AUCUAGCUGACGAGUCCCAAAUAGGGCGAAACUGGAU